rnacentral:tRNA from 2 species
GUGCGUUUCGUUCAGCGGCCCAGGACUCCCCCCGGAGAGGGGGCAACGCCGGUUCGAAUCCGGCAGCGCACA